AAUUCCUCUAAAAUGAACUUUUCUUACAUGAAGUAAGUUCAUACCAUAAAGAUUGUAAUCAAUUAGAAAUUAAAUGUGUGCAACAUUUAUGAGUUGAUUGAGUUGAACUGAAAUUGAAUUUGCAAUAAAAUUUCUAAAUCAAUC